rnacentral:piRNA from 1 species
CACAGAUAGCUCAUGUUCUCACUGCAGUGC